GACAGUCUGUCUCUUUGACUCCGUCGACGAGGACAAUGAAGAUGAUUGUGACGACGACGAUGAUGAUGGAGAAGCAGAGAUGGAGGAUUACAGUUCUUCUUUUUUGUCUAUAGAUGGACAGGAUUAUAUGGAUUCAUGUCAGUGAGAGGGGAAGUGUGAGAGCGUGUCUAAACACAUUAUCACUUUUCAAACCUUCGGCCCACAUGCAGCACGGGGCGGUGGGUGCACUCGACCCCCCCUGGCAGCGGUGUUGUUGGAAUUACCUUCACAUGACAAAUCAAGAGCCUAUCUGGGAAAAUAAUCAGGUCCCCGCUGCUCUCGGCGUGGAGAAAACCCCAUUAGAGAACAACACUGUCACUGUUAAUCACCGCAAUGGCCUUUUGUGCGCUGGCACAGACUGUAUAACACAACAAACCGACAAAAUCAA